GUCUUCAGUUGCCAUCCUGUCCUUGCAGCCCCUGAGAGCUUCCUGAGGAGUGUUGAGCAGGAAAGGGUGGCCAGAGAGGAGCACCUGGAGCCUCACAGACAGCAGUGCCCACCACAGGGACAGGGAGAGCCACUGUCAGCUCUGCAGAGUGCUUCUGUGGUCGUCCACUGGGAGAGAAGAAUAACAUCCCCUGAGGGAGAGUGGGUGGAAUAUGCAGCAGGGCCUGAAAGACAUCCCUGGGGACAAGGCAGCCGGGCAAGGCUGGAUUGCAGGAAUGAUGGUGUCAGAAGGCCCCAAGCUUUGUUAUCUGGAAGAGAACGACCUGGUGGACUAGGAGGUCUGGGUGAUCACUCCGACCGAGAAGCCAAGGAUGAAAUACAAGGUAACAGGUCAAUGUGGGUGCUCCUGGUUGGCAGGUGGCUCUCUGUAUGAUUCAGUGACCCAAGCUCCUUCUGUCUUGUGGCUCUGCCAUCCCCUAAGACCUUGGAGUCCCCUGCAUCUGGCUCACAAGAAAGGAAAAUACGUGUAUGAAUCAGGUACAACCUCUUCUUAAACACUUUCAUCUAGACAUGACAUACAUUGCUUCCACUCACAAUCCAAUGGCAAGAACUAAUUACAUAUUCCCCCCUAGAUCCAAAGGAUGCUGGGAAAUGUAGUUUAUGAUUGGGCAGCCAUUCCCUAGAAACAACGCUGCCCAAGGAAGAAAAACAUAAAUUCUGGUAAACAUGAUGCCAUAAAUACUGAAGGAAGAGAGUUGCUAUGGUGCAUCUGUGUUACCACAGAGGAGUGAAGUCAGGCCACAUGCAAACCAGAAGACCACUGCCUACCCUGUGCCUUGAAGCCCUGGACAGGAACUUCGCAUGCCAUUGCUUCUUUGGGAUGAAGAGCUCUCAUCUGGGAAAAAGAAAUUGGUAACAGUUGAAUCUCAAGAGGUUUUUUCACCCAUGGAAGCCCAUGAGCCCAUGAAACAGAGGGUUUUCCUUGCCCUCUGGCUGCUUACAGUUUAACUUGGACUAUCAGGAGCUUGUGGCUCCUGCCUGGGUAGGGCCAUGUGGUUUAGGAUGAGAAGAAGAAAAGGAGGUGCCUGGUACCCAGAAUAAUGUGGUGCCCCAUGCUUACGUCUCUAGUGGCCUCAUCUCUGCCUCCAUCAUGAUGAGCGGAAAGACAGACUUCCUUUCUUGCCUGAAUUCCCUUCCACAGAUUACUUGAGUCUAAUCCACAUGGUUAGGAAUUUGCAAAACCUUAUGCCAUUCUACUGAAUAGACUUUGGAGCAGUCUGUUUCCAGAGAAUGUCUCGAAAAGGUGGAGAGAAAGAGAGUGAAAGAGGUGAACAAUCAGAGGGACUAAGGUGAGAAGAGACAGGCAGACAGACAUUCAGACAGGGAGUUCAAGGUAAGGAAAGAAAGAGCAAGUCAGGCCAAAAGUCCAAGGUGGAAAGGAGAAGGGAAGGGGAAGGAGGAGAUGCUGGAUGGGCAGGCCCAGGCUGGAGGUAGGGGUGCAAAGAAGAUGGACAGACAGAGAGACAGACUGCUUGUCCAGGGUACAAACAGAAGCUUCCCACACCCAGUCAUGAGAUAGAGAUGCAGAGGCACCCACCGAGACAAUGGCAUAGGGAGACAGAUGGUAGUAAGUUCCAGGGAGACAUGAUUCCAAUCAAGCCCAUUGAAAUGGAUUGGGAAGUUCAGGAGGCAGCAAAGCGUGGGAUUGGGAGGAGGUGGGAGGGGAGGGUCAUGGCAGAACAGGUUGAGUGAGCUUCUGCCAGGGACAGGGCUAGGGCAGCUGCUGACGAGAUCGCAGCAGCAUGGCCUCGGCAGGAAGAGCCCUCUGUUCACCCUUCCACUGCAAUUGGACUCACCUGACAGUGGAAUGAGUAAUGAGUUCAUUAAAACCUCAGUACCCUUUCCUGAAAAGAAGAUGAAUGUGGUUGAGAAAGGGAAGGCGUGUGCCUGCAUGCGUGUGGUGCCCACAGCAGCCCUGACACCCUGCUUAAGGCAAUCAUAUCCUUCUCCUGCUUAGAAGUCUCCCAAGGCUCCCCAUCCAUCGUGAGGGUCAAGUCUAACCCCUUGGCCUGGCAUUCAAGGCCUUUCCAGAGCUGGUCCCUGCUGCCCUCUUUGACCUCAGUUUGUACCACUUCCCUUUCUUACAGGGAAGCCAGUCUUUCCAACCUGCUGGUAGCUCCCCACAAAGGCACGACUAUAGCACAAGGCUCUCAUUCCCCAGGAGGUACUCUGCCUGAAAUGCCCUUCCCCUGCUCACAGGUGUGUUUGUGUAGUAAGCUCCUAGUCAUCAUUCUGAACCUUGUUCCAGGUCACUUUCUCUGCGAGGCUUCCCCUGUCCAGCAGAGCUGGUCAUGCCUCCUCUAUGAUACGUAGGCUCCAAGAAGCCCUGUUACAGAAUUCAUCAUUGUGAAUUUCCCUAGAUGCCCACUCCUCUGUAUCUCUGUAUUUCAUUAAUGUCUGUAUCCAGGAGGCAUGCACAGCACGGUGAGGUUAAGAGCAGAAUUUUACAAUCAGGGAGCCACGGAUUCAAAUCCCUGGUUGCACCACAUCAGAGGGGUUGGGACCCUGGGCAAGCCGCCUUGCUAAACCCUGGUUUUCUGGAACUCUGAAGUGGGGAUGAAUAUACCUACCUCCAGGGCUGCUCUAAGGAGAAAAUGAGAUGAUGUUUGCUUGAUGGAGUCAAAAAAUGAAACCUUGUGUCAAUAAUGGCACCAGAUUUCAGGUGGGAAGAAGGGGGCUCUGAUCUUUCAGAUUUCUGAGUGUGGAAAAACCUUUUCCCAUCCCACUCCACGCUCUGCCCCUCACCAGCCUGAACCUUGGAGGAUUGACUUCUUCCCUCCCAGCUUCAGUUUCCUCACAUAGAAGAUGAGGAUAAUAGUCUUCCCUAUGUUACAGGGUCAUUACAAGGAUUAAAGAAGAUUUUGCAGAUUGGAAACCUGAAGUGCCUGAAAUGGAGGCAUAAAGUUCAAAGUAAACAUGAGUGUGAGUUUUGGAAAAUGCCUUGAUAAACUAUUUGGGUGGAAGGAAACCAGAAGGCAGGUCUGGAGUUCAGGGCCAAGGGAGUGCAGAAUUGCUCUGCAUUGGUAAAGAAGAGGCUACUUUUUUCUCUUUUGUCUCCUUCCUUCUCUCCUUCCUUUCUGUCUAUAUGGUUUUUUUUUUUUAAGUUUGAUACGGCAUGUCAUAUGGUGACUUUUUAAAAAAAUGAUGUCAAAAGCCAGGCAUGGUGGCACAAUUCUGCAGUCCCAGCUACUCUGGAGACUGAGGCAGGAAAAGCACUUGAGCCCAGGAGUUCAAAUCCAACCUGGGCAACUAAAAAUAGAUAGAUAAAUAAACAAACAGUGAUAGGCUUAUGAUUGGCAGGCUGGGUAGUUGGUUGGUUUGCUGGCUGGCUAGGUGACUGGUUAGUCUGUGGAUUGGAUGGUGCAUUGGCUGGUUGCUUGACAGGGAAGGGAGAAAAGAGAGAAGGGAAGAAAGAAGCCAGAGAGCUGAGUAAGUGACCAGACUCUAUGUAAGGUGGGAUGGCCAGGGCAGAAUACCCAAGAGUGUGGCAGUGAAAAGAGUCCUUUAAGAACUGGGGUGGCUGAUAUCCCUGCUGCUUGCAUCACCACAGCUUCAAACAUGUCUCUUUUUUUCCCCUUAAAGACCAACGUGACAGUAAACUUAAAUUAUCUCUGCAGCUGCAAACCUUCCAGACAGUCCAUGCCAAGUCCACCAGUGACUCUUUGUGGAAAUCAAGGAAUGAGACUAAGUUCCAAAUCUUGUAACAGGAACAUGUGCAGAAAGAAAGACCUUCCAGAAAGUAAACUGACUCAGUGGAAACAGAAACUCAGAAUUAGAGAUGCCUUUGAAUGAACCCCCUCCUCAUAAAACACACACACACUGCCCUGGAAAUACAGAAACCACAAGGGGGGGGUUUAGGCUUUCUAUAAAUCAUGAAGUAAGGAUCCAAGUUGAUCUUAUCUAGCUCUUAAGGAGCAAAGUAUGCCCUGCUGGUACUUUAGUUGAAUCAGAAAAUUGCUUAGCACAGUAUUUGUCACUUAAAAUGUGCCCAAUAAGCAGACGUGGUCGUGGUAAGCCUCUGCUAUACACAAUAGGAUGAAGUUGGGAUGAACUUCACGAGGUGACCUAGUCAAGCCUUCAGAUGUUUGAGUUACCUCCUACUCUGCCCCCUCAGCACCUGGUAAGCAGUCCUUGGAUACUUCUAGGAACUGGGACCUCGCUCCCUCUCCAGAUGCCUGUUGGAUGACUCGGACUGCUGGGGGUCUUCUUUAUAUGGAUUUAAAGCCGGAAUCCUGUGAUUUCUACCCACUGGUUUUCCACAGAUGUUCUCAUCGCUUACGUGUGGGUUUUUUGUUGUUUCAGGCUUUGCUUUUUUAUGUCACAAGAAAUGUUGAAACAGUUUUUUCCAGCUGUGUAAUCUUCCUUGUCAUUUUUGCAGGCUUUUAGCAGGCCCUGCUGGCAUCUUUCAAGCUUAUCUCUAAUUCCAAAUACAUUAAAGAGGAAAAAAAAGGAAAGAGAGUAAAGUAUUUGGAGUCAAAUAAAGUUACCUAUACAUUUUGUUCUAACUUGUAGGGCAGUCGACAUGCUUUUACUCUGGUACCAACUCUUUCUUUUUAUAAACCUCCAUCACCCCAAAGGCAGUGAAGCAAUGGAAACCGGUCAGGACCUAGUAGUGGGAGGUCUGGGUUCUAAUCCCAGCACUGCCCCUCACGACCUGGGUGACCUGAGCAAACCACCCAUCCCCUCUGAGUCCAGGAAUAACAAUACUUACCUUGAAGUUAUGGGUGGAUUAAAGUAUUCAGAGUGCUUAAGCCAAUAUCUGACACAUGCUGUGUGCUCAAUGAAUGGCAAGAUUUAAACAGAAAUCUCUCCCUGGCUGAUUUCAUGGGGCUCUUAGCCUAGGGGAAUGCAAGCAAAGAGACAUCUGGUUCCUAUAACCAAGAAGCCUGAAAUCUCCUCGAGGUGGUUGGGUGGAAGCAUUUAUCCAUUUGUUGGUUCAGUCAAUGUACAGUAAGAACAUGAAGAGCCCCAUGCUCAAACAAAUUAGGGGCAUGGAUGAAAAACACAGGGCAGUAAUGUACACUAGAGAAAACACCCUUGACAGCAGAUAUAUCUGAUUUUGAACCCUUGCCCUGUGUGUUAGUCAGGGUUCUCCAGAGAAACAGAACCAAUAGGAUACAUAGAGAGAUAAAUAAGAGGGAAUUUAUUAUGGGAAUUUGCUCAUGCAAUUAUGGAAGCCAAGAAGUCCCACAACAUGUCAGUCUGCAAGCGGGAGAAUGAGGGAAGCUGGUGGUAUAAAUCGGUCUGGUUCUGAAGGCUGGAGAAGCGAGUCCCUGUGUCUGAGGGCAGGAGAAGCUGGAUGUCCCAGCUCAAGAACAGAAAGUGAAUUCUUCCCUCCUGAACCUUUUGGUUCUAUCUUGGCCAUCAAUGGACUGGAUGAUGCCCACUCACACUGGUGAGGGCAGAUUUUCUUUUUCUCUUUUCUUAUUUAUUUUGUUUUAUUUUAUUUUUUGAGACAGAGUCUCACUCUGUCAC